UGUAUUUUUGUCGAGCCUGCGACUUUUGUCGCAGAAAGCUCGACAUAGGGAUAGCGAUCCGGCGGCGGCGGCGGCGGCGGCGGCGGCUACGUCGGCGGCGGCGGCGGCGUUAGCUAACUUCUUAAAAGCUUUAUAUUUUAGAAGGUGGAAGACCUGGAUGCUUCAUACUUUGUAUAUGGAUGCCUCAUGUUACGAAGUUUCCGUCAGUCACAUGUCCAAUUUCCUUGACCUCAUUUUCAUGGUUCAGUGACUACUUGAAAAAAAAGUUCAGAUUAUUUGUAAUGUUAAAUUCUCUCUUAUUAUAAGUAAUAGGAUAACUAUAUUUAGUAUGUGCGUACCUUGCAAGGUCCUCAUGCCUGUCAGACAGUUUUCACUUGACCUCGACCUCAUUUCAUGGAUCAGUGAACAAGGUUAAGUUUUGGUGGUCAAGUCCAUAUCUCAGAUACUAUAAGCAAUAGGUCUAGUAUAUUCGGUGUAUGGAAGGACUGUAAGGUGUACAUGUCCAACUGGCAGGUGUCAUCUGACCUUGACCUCAUUUUCAUGGUUCAGUGGUUAUAGUUAAGUUUUUGUGUUUUGGUCUGUUUUUCUUAUACUGUAUGCAAUAGGUCUGCUAUAUUUGGUGUAUGGAAUGAUUGUAAGGUGUACAUGUCCAACUGGCAGGUGUCAUCUGACCUUGACCUCAUUUUCAUGGUUCAGUGGUUAUAGUUAAGUUUUUGUGUUUUGGUCUGUUUUUCUUAUACUGUAUGCAAUAGGUCUAUUAUAUUUGGUGUAUGGAAUGAUUGUAAGGUGUACAUGUCCAACUGGCAGGUGUCAUCUGACCUUGACCUCAUUUUCAUGGUUCAGUGGUUAUAGUUAAGUUUUUGUGUUUUGGUCUGUUUUUCUUAUACUGUAUGCAAUAGGUCUACUAUAUUUGGUGUAUGGAAUGAUUGUAAGGUGUACAUGUCCAACUGGCAGGUGUCAUCUGACCUUGACCUCAUUUUCAUGGUUCAGUGGUUAUAGUUAAGUUUUUGUGUUUUGGUCCGUUUUUCUUAUACUUUAUCCAAUAGGUCUACUAUAUUUGGUGUAUGGAAUGAUUGUAAGGUGUACAUGUCCAACUGGCAGGUGUCAUCUGACUUUGACCUCAUUUUCAUGGUUCAGUGGUCAAAGUUAAGUUUUUGAGUUUUGGUCUUUUUUCUUAUACUAUUAUGCAAUAAGUCAACGAUAUUUGGUGUAUGGAAAUAUUCUAUGAUGUACAUGUCAGUCUCGCAGGUUUUAUUUGACCUUGACCUCAUUUUCACAGUUCAUUGCUCAGUGUUAAGUUUAUGUGUUUCAGUCUGUUUUUCUUAAACUAUAAGCAAUAGGUCAGCUAUAUUUGUUGUAUGGAAGGAUUGUAAGCUGUUCAUGUCUGCCUGGCAUGGUUCAUCUGACUUUGACCUCAUUUUCACGAUUCAUUGGUCAAUGUUUAGUUUUCUUGGUUAAGUCUGUUUCUUAGAAACUAUAAGCAAUAGGUCAACUAUAUUUAGUGUAUUGAAUGAUUGUAAGGUGUACAUGUAUUUCUUGUUUGGUUUAUAUGACCUUGACUUCAUUUUCUUGGAUCAUGUUAAGUUUAUGUAAUAGUUGUAGUAAAGCUUUCAUUUAGGACUAUCAACAUAAUAUCAAUGGUUAGUAAAGAAGGCGAGACAUUUCAGCGUGUCCACUCUUGUU